UUCCCAAUGCGCAAGCAGAUCAAGUUAUUAUAAAUGUUGCUAACUUUGCAGUGGCAGCGUUCAACCAAAAAUAUGGAAAUAAGCUUGUGUUUCAUGCAGUUUUGGAAGCUUGGGUUGUUGUUCUUCCUGAUGGCAAAAAAGAGUAUAGUAUUGAAUUAGUAGCAAAAGACUGUUUGAAUCGUUGCCUCUACUUUCAUGCUAUUGUGAUUGAAAUAGUUGGCGUUCCCCCUGGCUGGAAUCUUUUUUCUUUCACCCAAAUCAGCGACUAAAUUAAAAGAAAAGUUAUAUGUAUAAUCGAAGUUCAUACUUAUGUGUGAGAAGUACACAAUAAUAAAUCUUAUAUGAUAUUGUACUGCUCUACUUUCUUUAACUAUCUGUUAUAGAAUAAUAAUGGAGGCCAAACGAUGUUUUUAGUCCCAAACCCUUUAUUUUGUGUUUUAGUUUUCAUUUUGGUUUGUUGCAUGGGACUCUCUUAAGUUUUUGAGUUAAUGUUUUGCAGCUUUGUGUUUGAGUUUUGAGUUUAAUUUUGUAUUUGGUUCUUGAUCGUGUU
rnacentral:lncRNA from 1 species